UACAGAGGGUGCAAGCGUUGUUCGGAUUUACUGGGCGUAAAGGGCGCGUAGGCGGCCAGCACAAGUCAGUUGUGAAAUCUCCGAGCUUAACUCGGAACGGUCAACUGAUACUGUGCGGCUAGAGUGCGGAAGGGGCAACUGGAAUUCUUGGUGUAGCGGUGAAAUGCGUAGAUAUCAAGAGGAACACCUGCGGCGAAGGCGGGUUGCUGGGCCGACACUGACGCUGAGGCGCGAAAGCCAGGGGAGCGAACGGG
rnacentral:rRNA from 1 species